CGAAAGGUAGGCUAUAGAAAGCCUGUGAGCCCAUGACUCACCGAAGGACAAAUGUGUCCCCUUUCUA
rnacentral:tRNA from 1 species